rnacentral:piRNA from 1 species
GUAUUAAAUAAAGAGGACUGUAAAUAUU